rnacentral:rRNA from 1 species
GUGGGGGAUAUUGCACAAUGGGGGAAACCCUGAUGCAGCGAUGCCGCGUGGAGGAAGAAGGUUUUCGGAUUGUAAACUCCUGUCGUGAAGGACGAUAAUGACGGUACUUCAUGAGGAAGCUCCGGCUAACUAUGUGCCAGCAGCCGCGGUAAUACAUAGGGAGCGAGCGUUAUCCGGAAUUACUGGGUGUAAAGGGAGCGUAGGCGGGAAUGCAAGUCAGAUGUGAAAACCAAGGGCUUAACCUUUGGACUGCAUUUGAAACUGUGUUUCUUGAGUGAAGUAGAGGCAAGCGGAAUUCCUGGUGUAGCGGUGAAAUGCGUAGAUAUCAGGAGGAACAUCGGUGGCGAAGGCGGCUUGCUGGGCUUUUACUGACGCUGAGGCUCGAAAGCGUGGGGAGCAAACAGGAUUAGAAACCCUAGUAGUCC